rnacentral:rRNA from 1 species
GACGAACGCUGGCGGCGUGCUUAACACAUGCAAGUCGAACGCUGAAGCUCAGCUUUUGUUGGGUGGAUGAGUGGCGAACGGGUGAGUAACACGUGAGUAACCUGCCUCCUUCUUUGGGAUAACGCCCGGAAACGGGUGCUAAUACUGGAUAUUCACUGGUCUUCGCAUGGGGGUUGGUGGAAAGGGUUUUUCUGGUUGGGGAUGGGCUCGCGGCCUAUCAGCUUGUUGGUGGGGUGAUGGCCUACCAAGGCUUUGACGGGUAGCCGGCCUGAGAGGGUGACCGGUCACAUUGGGACUGAGAUACGGCCCAGAGUCGUACGGGAGGCAGCAGUGGGGAAUAUUGCACAAUGGGCGCAAGCCUGAUGCAGCGACGUCGCGUGAGGGAUGGAGGCCUUCGGGUUGUGAACCUCUUUCGCUCAUGGUCAAGCCGCAACAAUGGUUGUAGUGAGGGUAGUGGGUAAAGAAGCGCCGGCUAACUACGUG